ensembl:snoRNA U3 Small nucleolar RNA U3
UGGACUGUUAGAGAGGUCAGGCCAUGCUGUUCAAAUAUCUUUGAAAGAUAUCUUUUUGAAAGAAAGGACCAUAAGGAGGAGGCUCAGUGUUCUCUCCUGAGAAUGAAGCUGCCUUUAGGUGUUCCUUCCACAACUGCCUAUUGCCAUUGAUGAGUGUUCUUUUCUUCCUUUGGGGAAGUAAGAGGAGAGGACACAAUCUGAGUGGU